GCCUCGGCUUCCCAAAGUGUUGGGAUUACAGGUGUGAGCUACCAUGCCCGGCCCCAGCUGAAAGCUUUUCAAUAGCCUUUACCUUCCCUCCUUUCUCCUUCCUGCUGCCUGGAAUGCAGAUGCAAUAGCUGGAGCUCCUGCCACUGCUACGGAACCAUCUUUGACGUCUCCCUUUCAGUCACACCCCUCAUCCAAUCUGUCAGGAAAUUCUGUUGAGUCCAUGUUCAGAUAUCCACAGCUUGGACCACUUCUCCCCACUUCCUGUGUCUCCACUGAGAUCCGGGUUAUCUCACCUCUCUCCGGGAUUGUGAUGUUCUCCUCACUUCCGCCCUGGCCUCCCCAUGGUCUGUUCCCACCCAGCAGCCAGAGGACACAAGGGGAGAGCUGCCCAAACACAGAGGUGGAGAGGAGCCUGUCCGGACCCAGGGACACAGGCAACGCCGGCAGUGACCACUUGGGCCCCAGAGAAACUCACAGGUGGCCACCCCUCCUGUUUGGAGCUGGAGGCAGAUCAUCUGGGAAGCCUUGGGGUGAGGACGUGGGUGCUGUAGGAUCUGCUGCUCUAAAUGAAGGCAGGCGGUGCUGCCCCGGCAGGAGGACAGCAGCUCCAGGCCUGACAAGGCUCUAGACCUCAGCUUCUUCAUCUCUCCCUAGCCCAGGUUGACAUCCCUUCCCCACCUUCCACAGCCAGAGGACUGGACAAGUGUCUUCACCAGAGCCUCGUUUCCUUAUCUGAAAUACAGCGCUAACCACCCCUCCCUCCCGUGGCUGUGGCAAUAAAUUAAAUGAAGCCCACAAAGGACCUAGCACACAGUAGGCACUUAAUCAAUACAGAACCCCUCCUCCAGCACUGCCCGCCCUUCCCCUGGAAGCAGCCACGCUUACCUCCACCACCUCCUCUUCAUGGUCAUCAAACACUCGUGACAGGCCGGCCUCCCACUGCUGAGACCCUUAGAGGUCCAGGCCUCUGCUCCUCGUCCCCGUCUCUGCCACGCCUGGUGUCAUGA